rnacentral:rRNA from 1 species
CAAUAGCGUAUAUUAAAGUUGUUGCAGUUAAAAAGCUCGUAGUUGGAUUUGUGGCGUACGGUGUGUUCCGGGCACUUGUUGUCUGAGUAACCUGCUGUUGCCAUCCUUGGGUGGAACCUGUGUGGCAUUAGGUUGUCGUGCAGGGGAUGCCCAUCAUUUACUGUGAAAAAAUUAGAGUGUUCAAAGCAGGCUUAUGCCGUUGAAUAUAUUAGCAUGGAAUAAUGAGAUAGGACUUUUUUGCUAUUUUGUUGGUUUGCGCAAAGAGGUAAUGAUUAAUAGGGACAGUUGGGAGUAUUCGUAUUCCAUUGUCAGAGGUGAAAUUCUUGGAUUUUUGGAAGACGAACUACUGCGAAAGCAUUUACCAAGGAUGUUUUCAUUAA